rnacentral:rRNA from 1 species
GACGAACGCUGGCGGCGUGCCUAAUACAUGCAAGUCGAACGAACCGCGACUGAGUGCUUGCACUUGGUCAAGGUGAGUGGCGAACGGGUGAGUAACACGUGGGUAACCUACCUCAUAGUGGGGGAUAACAGUCGGAAACGACUGCUAAUACCGCAUAGGACAUGGAAUCACAUGAUUCUGUGAGGAAAGGUGGCGCAAGCUAUCGCUAAGAGAUGGACCCGCGGUGCAUUAGCUAGUUGGUAGGGUAAGGGCCUACCAAGGCGAUGAUGCAUAGCCGACCUGAGAGGGUGAUCGGCCACAUUGGGACUGAGACACGGCCCAAACGCCUACGGGAGGCAGCAGUAGGGAAUCUUCCGCAAUGGACGCAAGUAUGACGGAGCAACGCCGCGUGAGUGAAGAAGGUCUUCGGAUCGUAAAGCUCUGUUGUUAGAGAAGAACAGAGCAUAGAGUAACUGUUAUGCGUGUGACGGUAUCUAACCAGAAAGCCACGGCUAACUACGUG